rnacentral:lncRNA from 13 species
AGCAAGGAAAAAGGAACGAAGCAACUACAUUAGGAAGGUAGUGCAUGGACAUUUGUUGUUGUGAAGGUAGUGCAUGGACAUUUGUUGUUGUUGUGAAGGUAGUGCAUGGACAUUUGUUGUUGUGAAGGUAGUGCACGGACAUUUGUUGUUGUGAAGGUAGUGCAUGGACAUUUGUUGUUGUUUUGAAGGUAGUGCUUGGACAUUUGUUUUCCAGAAGCUAUUUUCUCAAUAGU